CUUGUAUAAGCCUUCUCCCAUGGGGGCAUCUUGAUAAAUCAAAGAAGCAACAGAAAAUACUCCCGCAGUGCUUGCUUUUUUAAGUAGGAUUAUGUGAAAGUACCUCAGAAUCACUUCCAUCCCCUCACAUUGACAAUCUUCCAGUUAAUGAGAAAAUGGAUUUUCUUCUCCCAAAGUAUUGGGUUUGAGAAUCUUCUGCUCUGCAUUAACUAAUUCUUCACAAAUGUUUUUAAUACUUAAGGUCCAGAUAUUUGCUAUUUAUAAAAACACAGAUACAACUGAUUGACCUCCUUAUUUUAAGCUUCUUCCUCCAGACACCACUAACUUCUCAGCUCCCUUGCAUGCUUAAAACCUAUUUCAAAAGAGAAUCAUGCAAACUCCCCAAACAACUGUUCCAUGUUAGUCAUCCUUAAUACUCAUCCAAUCUUUUUUUUUUUUUUUUUUUGGUUCACCAGUAUCAAAGCUUAUGAUUCCUAAAAAGUUUGGCAAUUUUUAAAGGACAGAGAGAGAACUCUACUGGAAAUGCCAUGCCUUUCCCUUCACACCCCUUCUUUUUAACAUCAGGCCAUGUUAUAUACCUCCUGCCAGGACCAGAUCAAAUCUCAUUUCCAACCUGCCAUAACAGUAUUAACAGUUCUUCCUUCCAUACUUCCAAACUUUGUGUUCAUACUACUAUCAGAGGACUAAUAAAAUGAUUACAGUAAGUUGUUUAUAUUCCAGAUAAUGAAGUCUAUGAAGACAGAAAACAUAAUUUAUUCAUUUUUAUAUGUCCAAAAUGUACCUAAUUCAGGGGCAGUUACUAAAUAAAAUUUUUGAGUAAUUUGAUCAAUGUGACUCAAAAUCUUUAGCAGUAAUUUUAAGGAACAUAUUACAACAUAGUCUUUGAAACAACGAGAAAGAAAAAAUCUCUAUUUAAGUAGUAAAAAUUCAAAAUGGAGUAUGAAGCCAAGUAAAAAAUUUAAAUUGCAGAAACUAAUAUUUUUCUUUUCUCAUUCAUUUCCCAUGGUUUCUUAAUUCUCUUCCAUUAAACACCUUUUAGGGAAAUUUAUAUUUAUGAAUGGUCAAGGCUGUAUAUUGUCACCCUGCUUAUUUAACUUAUAUGC
rnacentral:lncRNA from 1 species